rnacentral:rRNA from 1 species
AGAGUUUGAUCCUGGCUCAGGAUGAACGCUGGCGGCGUGCUUAACACAUGCAAGUCGAGCGAGCUUGCCUAGAUGAUUUUAGUGCUUGCACUAAAUGAAACUAGAUACAAGCGAGCGGCGGACGGGUGAGUAACACGUGGGUAACCUGCCCAAGAGACUGGGAUAACACCUGGAAACAGAUGCUAAUACCGGAUAACAACACUAGACGCAUGUCUAGAGUUUGAAAGAUGGUUCUGCUAUCACUCUUGGAUGGACCUGCGGUGCAUUAGCUAGUUGGUAAGGUAACGGCUUACCAAGGCAAUGAUGCAUAGCCGAGUUGAGAGACUGAUCGGCCACAUUGGGACUGAGACACGGCCCAAACUCCUACGGGAGGCAGCAGUAGGGAAUCUUCCACAAUGGACGAAAGUCUGAUGGAGCAACGCCGCGUGAGUGAAGAAGGGUUUCGGCUCGUAAAGCUCUGUUGGUAGUGAAGAAAGAUAGAGGUAGUAACUGGCCUUUAUUUGACGGUAAUUACUUAGAAAGUCACGGCUAACUACGUGCCAGCAGCCGCGGUAAUACGUAGGUGGCAAGCGUUGUCCGGAUUUAUUGGGCGUAAAGCGAGUGCAGGCGGUUCAAUAAGUCUGAUGUGAAAGCCUUCGGCUCAACCGGAGAAUUGCAUCAGAAACUGUUGAACUUGAGUGCAGAAGAGGAGAGUGGAACUCCAUGUGUAGCGGUGGAAUGCGUAGAUAUAUGGAAGAACACCAGUGGCGAAGGCGGCUCUCUGGUCUGCAACUGACGCUGAGGCUCGAAAGCAUGGGUAGCGAACAGGAUUAGAUACCCUGGUAGUCCAUGCCGUAAACGAUGAGUGCUUAAGUGUUGGGAGGUUUCCGCCCU